CCUACGGGAGGCAGCAGUGGGGAAUAUUGGACAAUGGGCGAAAGCCUGAUCCAGCAAUGCCGCGUGAGUGAUGAAGGCCUUAGGGUUGUAAAGCUCUUUUACCAGGGAUGAUAAUGACAGUACCUGGAGAAUAAGCUCCGGCUAACUCCGUGCCAGCAGCCGCGGUAAUACGGAGGGAGCUAGCGUUGUUCGGAAUUACUGGGCGUAAAGCGUACGUAGGCGGUUAUUCAAGUCAGAGGUGAAAGCCUGGAGCUCAACUCCAGAACUGCCUUUGAAACUAGAUAGCUAGAAUCUUGGAGAGGUGAGUGGAAUUCCGAGUGUAGAGGUGAAAUUCGUAGAUAUUCGGAAGAACACCAGUGGCGAAGGCGACUCACUGGACAAGUAUUGACGCUGAGGUACGAAAGCGUGGGGAGCAAACAGGAUUAGAUACCCUGGUAGUCCACGCCGUAAACGAUGAUAACUAGCUGUUCGGGCUCUACGAGCUUGUAGUGGCGCGAGACUACGACAUUAAGUUAGUCCGUCCGUCGGGUAGGUACGGUCGCGAGAGUUAAACGUACUAAUUAGAAGUAGUUAGGCGUGAGACGNGCCGACGGACGACGACGAGGGAGGAGG
rnacentral:rRNA from 1 species